rnacentral:lncRNA from 1 species
AGCUCUUGUUGUUGGCACCAUAAAUUGGUUUUGCUUCAUAUUGUCUUGAUCAAGAGUGUGUGAAGCUUUUGAUAAUUGUGGUUGCCUUCUAUUGAUGAAGCUCUUGUUAGCACCAUAAAUUGGUUUUGCUUCAUACUGUCUUGAUCAAGAGUGUGUGAAGCUUUUGAGAAUUGUGGUUGAACUUCUUUGAUGAAGUUCUUGUUGGCACCAUAAAUUGGUUUUGCUUCACACUAUCUUGAUUAAGAGUGUGUGAAGCUUUUGAGAAUUAUGGUUGCCCUCCAUUGAUGAAGCUUUUAUUGGCACCAUAAAUUGGUUUUGCUUCACACUGUCUUAAUCACAAGUGUGUCAAGCUUUUAAAAAUUGUGGUUGAACUCCUUUGAUGAAGCUCUUAUUGGCACUAUAAAUUAGUUUUGCUUCACACUGUCUUGAUCAAGAGUGUGUGAAGCUUUUAAGAAUUGUGGUUGCCCUUGAUUGAUGAAGCUCUUGUUGGCACCAUAAAUUGGUUUUGCUUCACACUGUCUUGAUCAAGAAUGUGUGAAGCUUUUGAGAAUUGUGGUUGAACUCCUUUGAUGAAGCUCUUGUUGGCACCAUAAAUUGGUUUUGCUUCACAUUAUCUUGAUCAAGAGUGUGUGAAGCUUUUGAGAAUUGUGGUUGAACUCUUUUG